rnacentral:rRNA from 1 species
UACAGAGGUCUCGAGCGUUGUUCGGAUUCAUUGGGCGUAAAGGGAGCGUAGGUGGCGGGGCAAGUCAGGUGUGAAAUCUCGGGGCUCAACCCCGAAACUGCACUUGAUACUGCCUUGCUAGAGUACUGGAGAGGAGAUUGGAAUUUACGGUGUAGCAGUGAAAUGCGUAGAUAUCGUAAGGAAGACCAGUGGCGAAGGCGAAUCUCUGGACAGUUACUGACACUGAGGCUCGAAGGCCAGGGGAGCAAACGGG